CGCUAUCACUCCUACGGGAGGCAGCAGUGGGGAAUAUUGCACAAUGGGGGAAACCCUGAUGCAGCCAUGCCGCGUGUGUGAAGAAGGCCUUCGGGUUGUAAAGCACUUUCAGUAGGGAGGAAGGUAGUGUAGUUAACACCUGCACUAUUUGACGUUACCUACAGAAGAAGCACCGGCUAACUCCGUGCCAGCAGCCGCGGUAAUACGGAGGGUGCGAGCGUUAAUCGGAAUUACUGUGCGUAAAGCGCAUGCAGGCGGCCUGUUAAGUCAGAUGUGAAAGCCCGGGGCUUAACCUCGGAAUUGCAUUUGAAACUGGCAGGCUAGAGUCUUGUAGAGGGGGUAGAAUUUCAGGUGUAGCGGUGAAAUGCGUAGAGAUCUGAAGGAAUACCAGUGGCGAAGGCGGCCCCCUGGACAAAGACUGACGCUCAGAUGCGAAAGCGUGGGGAGCAAACAGGAUUAGAUACCCUGGUAG
rnacentral:rRNA from 1 species